GCCAUAACACUCAUAACAAACAAAAAGAAACAGGAGAUAUAAGCAACGAAAGUAGGCUAUGGUAGAAUGGCUCCCACUUUUCCCCGCCUCUGUUACACCUCGGAUUUUCGCACAUUAAAGUCGCAUCAUGAGUUAGUCAACGUAAGUUCAAAAAAGAAAUUAUGCUGAGGAUAAGAGGGUGAUUUUACUAAUAAAAAUGGUUACAAGAGUCUAUAAAUAAUAUUAGUAAGUGGCGGAAGAUUUGGAGGGUGAAUGAAUCAAAGAAGCAUCAGUUUCGUCAAAAGUCGGCAAGUAGGGAAUACGAUAACUUGUACUUUUGGGUGGAAUUAGGAGUGCUCCACAUGCUAAAUAAGUAAUGAUAUGAAGUAUUUGAAUUGUAUAACGGUCUCUUGUUAAGUUUGAAAGUCAAACGAGUUGUAAUACGAAAGUCGACAAAGGGCGUCGCAAAUUAAGUUUGUAAAUUUCACUGAAAUUUGGGUCAGAUGUCUCGGAGAUUUUCUCUCAAUAUACUUGGAGUUACGGGGUGAUCCACCUAUCAAAUCGAAGGUCUAUGAGUCUAGUUUCCAGUGGAUUUUACCGUUUGUCGAUAUGACAUCGGAGUAGAGAGAAAUUUGCAUUUUUGUCCAAGGACGUAAACUGCCACGGGAACAGUGGACAUAGUCGGUGGUCAAAGUUGUCUUUGUAUAUAUAUUCACCCCUUCCACGACUUGUCUCUUAUUUUUCCUCUUCCUAAGACCUCCAAACCCUAGAAUUCAUCCUUAAAUACUUCCCAUCAAACAGAAGAUAAUCAAAGGGCAAAUUAUACAAGUGUAACACAAGGAACAAGGUAGUGAUCUUGGAAUUGGUAAAUUCUCGCUAAUUCGAUUUUUGGAAGGAAACUUCAUCAAGAAGCAAUUUAUAGUUUGGAGUGAUUUGCAUAGUUCGAGGAAGUCAGUUAUAAAGUGUUCGAAGCUUAUGAAAAUGUGUAUAACUCCAACCGACGAGGUACGGUAGACGGAUUGUUGUACCUUUCUCAGUAGGAUACCAAAGUUCAGCAGGGAUGUUCCCACUCCAUUCUCCAGAGUUGUUGGUCAGAGUCAUUAA